UACGGAGGGUGCGAGCGUUGUCCGGAAUCAUCGUGGGCGUAAAGGGCGCGUAGGCGGCGCGGGGAGUCAACGGUGAAGCUCGGCGCUCAACGCCGGAGUCGGCCGCGAUACUCCCGGUGCUCGAGCACUGGUAGGAGGCAGGUGGAAUUCCGGGUGUAGCGGUGGAAUGCGUAGAGAUCCGGAAGAACACCCGGUGGCGAAGGCGGCCUGCUGG
rnacentral:rRNA from 1 species